GUGCUGGCUUCGGCAACACAUAUACUAAAAUUGGAACGAUACAGAGAAGAUUAGCAUGGCCCCUGGUCAGGGUUCUUGCAGGUUUCAGUUUGUUACAUUUAAGACCUUUUU